rnacentral:rRNA from 1 species
GAUGAACGCUGGCGGCGUGCCUAAUACAUGCAAGUCGAGCGAACUUCUUAAGAGCUUGCUCUUAAGAAGUUAGCGGCGGACGGGUGAGUAACACGUAGGUAACCUGCCCAUAAGACUGGGAUAACUCCGGGAAACCGGGGCUAAUACCGGAUAACAUUUUGCACCGCAUGGUGCGAAAUUGAAAGGCGGCUUCGGCUGUCACUUAUAGAUGGACCUGCGGCGCAUUAGCUAGUUGGUGAGGUAACGGCUCACCAAGGCGACGAUGCGUAGCCGACCUGAGAGGGUGAUCGGCCACACUGGGACUGAGACACGGCCCAGACUCCUACGGGAGGCAGCAGUAGGGAAUCUUCCGCAAUGGACGAAAGUCUGACGGAGCAACGCCGCGCGAGCGAUGAAGGCCUUCGGGUCGUAAAGCUCUGUUGUUAGGGAAGAACAAGUGCUAGUUGAAUAAGCUGGCACCUUAACGGUACCUAACCAGAAAGCCACGGCUAACUACGUGCCAGCAGCCGCGGUAA